CUACGGGACGCUGCAGUGGGGAAUAUUGCACAAUGGAGGAAACUCUGAUGCAGCAACGCCGCGUGGAGGAUGACACUUUUCGGAGCGUAAACUCCUUUUAUAUAUGAAGAAGAUGACGGUACUAUAUGAAUAAGCGCCGGCUAACUCCGUGCCAGCAGCCGCGGUAAUACGGAGGGCGCAAGCGUUACUCGGAAUCACUGGGCGUAAAGAGCGUGUAGGCGGAUUAAAAAGUCAGAAGUGAAAUCCUAUAGCUUAACUAUAGAACUGCUUCUGAAACUCUUAAUCUAGAAUAUGGGAGAGGGAGAUGGAAUUUCUGGUGUAGGGGUAAAAUCCGUAGAGAUCAGAAGGAAUACCGAUUGCGAAGGCGAUCUACUAGAACAUUAUUGACGCUGAGACGCGAAAGCGUGGGGAGCAAACAGGAUUAGAUACCCCAGUAGUC
rnacentral:rRNA from 1 species